UACGUACGGGGCUAGCGUUAUCCGGAAUUACUGGGCGUAAAGGGUGCGUAGGUGGUUUCUUAAGUCAGAGGUGAAAGGCUACGGCUCAACCGUAGUAAGCCUUUGAAACUGGGAAACUUGAGUGCAGGAGAGGAGAGUGGAAUUCCUAGUGUAGCGGUGAAAUGCGUAGAUAUUAGGAGGAACACCAGUUGCGAAGGCGGCUCUCUGGACUGUAACUGACACUGAGGCACGAAAGCGUGGGGAGCAAACAGGAUUAGAUACCCCCGUAGUCCCUGAGCGGGCU
rnacentral:rRNA from 1 species